UAAGCGGAGGAGAAGAAACUAACCAGGAUUUCCCUAGUAGCGGCGAGCGAACCGGAAAGAGCCCAGCUUGAAAAUCGGGAUGCCUCGGUACCCCGAGUUGUAGUCUGGAGAUGCAUCCUCUGCAACGCACCAGACCCAAGUUCCCUGGAAAGGGACGUCGGAGAGGGUGACAACCCCGUCGAGUCUGGACCGUGUCGCUCCACGAGGUGCAGUCUACGAGUCGGGCUGUUUGGGAAUGCAGCCCUAAGUGGGUGGUAAAUUCCAUCCAAGGCUAAAUAUUGGCAAGAGACCGAUAGCGAACAAGUACCGCGAGGGAAAGAUGAAAAGGACUUUGAAAAGAGAGUUAAAAAGUGCUUGAAAUUGCUGGGAGGGAAGCGAAUGGAAGCUGCGGGUGUGCCCCGGUUGGAUGUGGAACGGCCUCCUGCGUAAGGGGCUGGUCCGCCGCUCAACGCGGGGCACUGGUCAGCGUGGGCUACCGAGGCGGGACAAGAGCGGGGUACUGAGUGUCCCUGCCGAUGCCGUCGCGGUGGCCGAGGAACGAAGUGCGCGCCGACUGUUAAAGGGAGGCGUCCCCCCCUCAAAGGGGGAACUGCGCACUCGGGACGCUGGCGUAUUGAGCUCUUCAUCCGACCCGUCUUGAAACACGGACCAAGGAGUCUAACAUGUAUGCGAGCCGGUGGGCGGCAAACCCAUUGAGGCGUAAGGAAACUGACAGGUGGGACCCCGACUCGACCAAAAAGAGAAGGGAGCACCAUCGACCGACCAUGAUCUUCUGUGAAAGGUUCGAGUGUGAGCAUACCUGUUGGGACCCGAAAGAUGGUGAACUAUGCCUGAGCAGGGCGAAGCCAGAGGAAACUCUGGUGGAGGCUCGUAGCGAUACUGACGUGCAAAUCGUUCGUCAGACUUGGGUAUAGGGGCGAAAGACUAAUCGAACCAUCUAGUAGCUGGUUCCCUCCGAAGUUUCCCUCAGGAUAGCUGGAGCUCGUGCACCUAGUUUUAUCAGGUAAAGCGAAUGAUUAGAGGCAUCGGGGGUGUAACACCCUCGACCUAUUCUCAAACUUUAAAUAGGUAAGCCGCCGGGGUUGCUCCGUUGAACCCCGGUAGAUAAUACUGAGCUCCAAGUGGGCCAU
rnacentral:rRNA from 1 species